rnacentral:rRNA from 1 species
UACGUAGGUGGCAAGCGUUAUCCGGAUUUACUGGGUGUAAAGGGCGUGUAGGCGGGGAAGCAAGUCAGAUGUGAAAACCACGGGCUCAACCCGUGGCCUGCAUUUGAAACUGUUUUUCUUGAGUACUGGAGAGGCAGACGGAAUUCCUAGUGUAGCGGUGAAAUGCGUAGAUAUUAGGAGGAACACCAGUGGCGAAGGCGGUCUGCUGGACAGCAACUGACGCUGAGGCGCGAAAGCGUGGGAAGCAAACAGG